GGGAGUGAGGGAAGGAGGAGAGGACCGGCAGAGCUCUAACCAGCAGCUCCGCUGGGUCCUCUCGCGGGAUUCUGAGCCAGCCUUUUACCCUGUGACUAUGGCCCCUGCAACAGAACUGGUUAAUAUACUUUAAACAGGCUCUGUUCAUGCAAUUGGGACUAUAUGGUUAGUUUACCGAACAACCGCACGAACAGAGAUCACCCUGGAGCUU